UCCAUAACCGCCGGUUGAAUGACGCCGACCGCUGGCUUUCGUGAACAUUGUCCGCCAGCCACAAGGCAUAUAUACCCUUCAUCGUCGUCUGCCGUGGAGAAGGUGAACGGAGGGGUCACCAUCUGGGGAAUCACCAUCGGUUCUAAUUGUCAAAUCGCAUUACCAGUUUUCGGUACUUUAUUUUUGGCCAUUGGUGUGGUCCUUACAGUUAUAUCAUAUCGUUGGGUAAGUAGUGACGACGAACAAAAGAAGAAAUUUUACUCGAAUUCUGACAAUGGCCGCUUACUUGGUCCAAUAUGUUUAAUCAUGUCUGUUAUAAUGUUCACUGGAACUACAAUUCUGCGAAUGGUCAGCGCUAAAGCAAGAUUACGGCAAACCCGAGUUGGGUUUCAUUGUCCAGUCCAUGGCGAUUUUUUUCCUAUUAGCCCAGGACUGGACCCAAGAAAAUUCUCCUUCUCCGCAGAAAAUAUAGCUCAAACCCCUUGGUCGUGUCUGGAUUUAUUAAAACGUAGAGGUUCGCAAGAAACAUUAGCCAUUGAUGAUUUAUCACCACAAUGCCCUCAUAAUAACAACCACGGAAGUACACGGAGUCCUAGUCCUACAUCUUCCUGUCCAACCCCUAAACCGUUUUUAAUAUUCACCGACUCUGAACAUGGAGGUAGUAGAGAACUAGUCGCAGGAAACACAUUAUUUCCUGAUGAACCUUUUGGGUCCAUCCGCUCUCUCUCGGUAACCAAUGAUGCACUGGCAGUGGCCUGUUUCCCAGUAGCACAAAAAGAUAAUCUUUGUGUUCCCGAAGAAUCAUGGUCACAUAAAAGAAUGAGCUGCCCGAGUUUACCAUCGACUGGAGGCGAGUUUCCACAACCGGAGCCAACAAAACCAUUGACUCCUCAAGUCGUCAAAGUGGUCCGUGAGAUCCGAUUCGUCACGCCCAUUGAAAAGAAUAAUUAUUAAAUAAACAACUACCAUUACAUUAUACUUUUGUAUAUUUGAAUUCAAUCAACAUAUCAUCUAGUACAACAUAUAAUUAUUCUAAAUAAAUUAGAUUCUUGGUGAGAAAUAUUGGGGAUGGUCAUCUAUAAAAUAACUAAAUUGAAAAAUACAAGAGAUAUUCAAUAAAGCCCAGAAAUUUCUGUGAACAUUUUAUUAUCAAAAAGAUUUGUGUUAUCUUUGUGUUUUUUUUAAUUUUUGGG